AAUGAACGCUGGCGGCAUGCCUAACACAUGCAAGUCGAACGAGACCUUCGGGUCUAGUGGCGCACGGGUGCGUAACGCGUGGGAACCUGCCCUUAGGUUCGGAAUAACUCCCCGAAAGGGGUGCUAAUACCGGAUAAUGUCUUCGGACCAAAGAUUUAUCGCCUUUGGAUGGGCCCGCGUUGGAUUAGCUAGUUGGUAGGGUAAAAGCCUACCAAGGCGACGAUCCAUAGCUGGUCUGAGAGGAUGAUCAGCCACACUGGGACUGAGACACGGCCCAGACUCCUACGGGAGGCAGCAGUGGGGAAUAUCGGACAAUGGGCGAAAGCCUGAUCCAGCAAUGCCGCGUGAGUGAUGAAGGCCUUAGGGUUGUAAAGCUCUUUUACCCGGGAUGAUAAUGACAGUACCGGGAGAAUAAGCUCCGGCUAACUCCGUG
rnacentral:rRNA from 1 species